rnacentral:rRNA from 1 species
CCUACGGGAGGCAGCAGUGGGGAAUAUUGGGCAAUGGGCGCAAGCCUGAUCCAGCAACGCCGCGUGAAGGAAGAAGGCUUUCGGGUUGUAAACUUCUUUUCUCAGGGACGAAGAUAGUGACGGUACCUGAGGAAUAAGCCACGGCUAACUACGUGCCAGCAGCCGCGGUAAUACGUAGGUGGCAAGCGUUAUCCUGUUUUACUGGGUGUAAAGGGCGUGUAGGCGGGACAGCAAGUCAGAUGUGAAAACCAUGGGCUCAACCUGUGGCCUGCAUUUGAAACUGUUUUUCUUGAGUACUGGAGAGGCAGACGGAAUUCCUAGUGUAGCGGUGAAAUGCGUAGAUAUUAGGAGGAACACCAGUGGCGAAGGCGGUCUGCUGGACAGCAACUGACGCUGAGGCGCGAAAGCGUGGGGAGCAAACAGGAUUAGAUACCCCAGUAGUC